UUGGAGUAUUUUGAAAACUUCAACUUGUAUACUUGGAGGAUUUUGAAGACUUCAAUUUGCAUACUCGGGUAUUUGAAGCCUUCAACA
rnacentral:pre_miRNA from 1 species